GCUUACCAUGCAGUCGAACGAAGUUUUUAACUUUAGUGGCGAACGGGUGCGUAAUACGUGAGAAUCUGCCCUUAGGAGGAGGAUAACUACUGGAAACGGUUGCUAACACUCCAUAUGUCGAGAGAUGAAAUAACUUUGUUGCCUAAGGAUGAGCUCACGCCUGAUUAGCUAGUUGGUGAGGUAAUUGCUCACCAAGGCCACGAUCAGUAGCUGGUUUGAGAGAACGAUCAGCCACACUGGGACUGAGACACGGCCCAGACUCCUCCGGGAGGCAGCAGUGAGGAAUUUUCCGCAAUGGGCGAAAGCCUGACGGAGCAAUACCGCGUGAGGGAUGAAGGAUUUUGGUCUGUAAACCUCUUUUCUCAAGAAAGAAGUCCUGACGGUACUUGAGGAAUAAGCAUCGGCUAACUCCGUGCCAGCAGCCGCGGUAAUACGGGGGAUGCAAGCGUUAUCCGGAAUUAUUGGGCGUAAAGCGCCUGUAGGUUGUUUAAUAAGUCUGUUGUUAAAGACUAGGGCUCAACCCUAGAAUAGCAAUGGAAACUACUAGACUAGAGUAUGGCAGGGGUAGAGGGAAUUUCUAGUGUAGCGGUGAAAUGCGUAGAUAUUAGAAAGAACACCGGUGGCUAGAGCGCUCUACUGCACCAUUACUGACGCUCACAGGCGAAAGCUAGUUUAGCGCGUGAGAUUAGAUACUGCUGUAGUCGUACCCGUACACGAUGCCUACUAUAUG
rnacentral:rRNA from 1 species